rnacentral:lncRNA from 1 species
UUUUUUAUUGUUCUUUUCAUUAAAUAAAGUUAUUAGAUAGUUUUUAAUUAAAAUGUAAAGUUUUGAAGCUCUUUUUAUUAAUUUUUAUUAAAGCAUAAUAAUCAAUGUCCAUUUAUUUAUUUAUUUAUUUUUUAUUGUUCUUUACUCUUACAUUAUUCUCUUUGACAAGUAUUAUAUCAUAUUAAAUACCAUAUUAAUUUUAUUCAUUUAACAUAUUCACAACAAUUUAUAUAAAAUUUUAUCAAACAAUCAGACACUAUAUACAAAAAAAAAAUUAACAAGCACUCAACAAUUUUAUUUUAGAGUUGUUUAUUCACACAUUAUAGCAGAAUCAGUUUUUAUAAAAGCAUAGCAAUAACAAACUAGCCCUAGACUAGUAGUCUAGUAUGAAUGAUAAUUAUUUUCGUCAUUUCCCUUUUUUCUUUUUCUUUUUUAUUUUAGUAUCCUUCCUUUUGAAUAGAAUAAUAUUUUUGCAUUCAGGGUUAGAAAAUAAAUUAAUGUAGAACUUGUCAUUCACUAAAUUAAUUUGAACUUCAAAGUUUUCCUUUGCUUCAACUAGAUAAACUACCACACAAAGAAAGCCUGGUUAGACAAUGAUUUGAGAGUGGACCAAAAUAAAAAAAUAUGUUGGCAUUUGUGAAUCGAACUUUCUGACUUCUGGGUGCAUUGGCUUUUCUACGGGACAUUUUGAUAUAGGUGCUUCAAUUUUGAAUUUUUUAGACUAAACAUCUAUACCUUUUAGAGAUUUGAUUAAACUCUUCUUCUUAUAAUUUUGAUGCCACGUGUAUUAUUAUUAAUAAUUUUUUGUACCAAAAAUAACAUGACUUGACACAACCUCAUAUUUCUUAAAAUGUCAUGUCAAAAAAAUGCACAUCAUAUUGAACCAAAUUUCCUAUAAUCUGGCAUU